rnacentral:lncRNA from 1 species
AUGUUGAAGUCGAUCCCGAAAGGUGACUGGAACUCAGGCGAUGAGGAUUUUCAUGACAACAGCACAAAGACAACAAAGGUGAAGCAAAUGGACAGACAUCAGGACAGAAGAAAUGAGGGUGAAGAGCUAUUAGAAGAGGAUCGUGACCUUCUCUCCUCAAUUGAUGAAUUAAUUAAGGAAAUUGAGUCGAAUUUGCCUGACCCAAAUAAACCCACUAGUUCAUCUGAAUCAGAAGAUAGCGAUUGGGAACCCAUCCAGGAGGCAGUUAAUGAGCAAAUCGAUCUAGAAAUGGACAUCAAGUUUCUCAUUGAGGACUAUGAAAGAGCUCAUCAGGAUAUUUUAGUUGGCAGAAAUGAUAUGAGCAAAUUAUUACAAGAAAUUAAGGAAGAGAAACAACAACAAAGUGCUGAAUCUUCUGAUGCCCAUGAAGCCAAACAUCUGGAAGUCAACGCAGAACCUCCACAAGGGAAUAUUUUAGAGGACAAAGAGCUACAAGAAUUCUUCAAAUACUGCAACGGACCCUUUAUAGCUGAACCCCAUAUAAAGACACACAAGUCAGAGCUUCUAUCAGAAGAAAAGCUCCAAAACCUCAACCUAGAGGAAUGUUUGAACCUGCUGAAACGAUUUGAAGCAGAGCUUCAGCAAGAGAAGAGCAAGAACAAGGCUGCCCAAGAAGAACUGGAGAAGGUAAAACUUUCAAGUGCGGAGGAGAUUCAAAAGCAUAAAACUGAGCUGGAUAAUGUCCGACAGCAACUGAAGAGUCUUCAGUGUGAUCACCAAAAGACUAUCAAGGAACACUCAAACCUUUGCCAGCAAGAGCUGAAGAAGACCAAAGCUGCAUAUGAGGAACAGCUUCAGAAUCAUAAAGAAGAGCUCAAAGAUUUCAAACAAAAGUAUGAGAUUCUUCAGCGGGACCUCAAGAAAGCCCAGGAAACAAUUGAGAGGGAACAGCCCAGUGGCGAAGCUCCUCUAGAGCAGGAGCACCAAACCUGUAAAAAAGAUCUCAGACAGAAGUUUGACAGUUUCCGGGCUGACCUCAAAAAAUCCAAAAUGGAUCUUCAGUCUUCAGACUCCAGUCUUUUCAUGAGAGGCCUAGGGAGUAUGGGAAUGUCCUCAAACCAGGGGAUGUUUCAAAGCUUUAAAAUUGCAGAGACGAACUUCAGAAGCAGGGUCCUGAGUCUCCAGAGUGAGCUACAGGAAUCAAAAAAAGAAACCCAGCAGGAGAAGAAAUUGUAUGAUUGUCUCAAGAAAGAGAAGGACACCAUUCGGCUAGCAUAUAAGGAGCAGCAAAACCAGCUGAGUUACGCCAAAAUGCACUUUGAGAGCGUUCGUGCUCAGCUGGACGAUUACAAGACAAGGAGCGAGUCAAAAACCGAAGAGACGGAUCAUCUCAGGAAGGACCGGAAGAAGGUCAAAAAAUCCCACAACAAGGACCGUGAGAAGGCUGACAGUGAUACUGAACUAGAGCCUUGGAACGACGAGAAGAAGAGACAUGGUAAAGAUGUCAGCGCGCAGGAAGGAAACGAUGCCUCAGAGCUGCUGACGGAGAGGAAGAGACGGAAGAAGCAUCGGAAAAACAAACCAAGCACAGAAAGCGAGCAGAAAGCGGGCGAAAACGAAGACCCGCAGACAUCUCGGCAGACCCAAAAGACUAAAAAGUCUGCAUUUACUAAAAUGUGCCACUUUUUUGGGUUGAGGAAACAUAAAAAAAUGGAAGCCGAGCAGACAGGAAGAGGUUCUGGUGAAGUCAAGUGCAACCACCAACUAUCAGAGCUGUGGAGAUGGAGAGAAGAGGGAUGUGAAGGUCGAGAAGGUUCCUCUGGCUGA